AUUCCAGCUCCAAUAGCGUAUACUAAUGUUGCUGCAGUUAAAAAGCUCGUAGUUGAAUUUCUGGUGACGCGGUUUGGCCUGUUGCUUAAUUGCAAUUUGUGCCACCACCGCUUCGCCAUCUUUUGGUUUAACCAGUCUGGCAUUAGGUUGUCGGGUUGGUGAUACCAAUCGUUUACUGUGAAGAAAUUAGAGUGUUCAAAGCAGGCUUAUGCCGUUGAAUAUUUUAGCAUGGAAUAAUAAGAUAGGACUUUAGUGUUAUUUUGUUGGUUUGCACACUAGAGUAAUGAUUAAUAGGGACAGUUGGGGGUAUUCAUAUUUCAAUGUCAGAGGUGAAAUUCUUGGAUCGUUGAAAGAUGAACUAAGGCGAAAGCAUUUACCAAGGAUGUUUUCAUUG
rnacentral:rRNA from 1 species